rnacentral:rRNA from 1 species
UCCUGGCUCAGAAUGAACGCUGGCGGCGUGCCUAACACAUGCAAGUCGGAUGUGCCGCAAGGUGCAUGGCAGACGGGUGAGUAACGCGUAGGGAAUCUACCUUUUGUGGGGAAUAACGCUCCGAAAGGAGUGGUAAUACCGCAUGAGACCGUGGCCUGGGAUGGUUACGGUGAAACCUGGGGACCGCAAGGCCUGGGGCAAAAAGAGGAUCCUGCGUCUGAUUAGCUAGUUGGCGGGUAAUGGCCCACCAAGGCGACGAUCAGUAGCCGGCCUGAGAGGGUGAUCGGCCACACUGGAACUGAGACACGGUCCAGACUCCUACGGGAGGCAGCAGUGGGGAAUUUUGCGCAAUGGACGAAAGUCUGACGCAGCAACGCCGCGUGGGUGAUGAAGGUCUUCGGACUGUAAAACCCUGUCGUCAGGGACGAAGGUGGCAGUGUUAAUAGCGCUGUUACUUGACGGUACCUGGAGAGGAAGCCCCGGCUAACUCUGUG